rnacentral:rRNA from 1 species
GAUGAACGCUGGCGGCGUGCCUAAUACAUGCAAGUCGAGCGAACAGACGAGGAGCUUGCUCCUCUGACGUUAGCGGCGGACGGGUGAGUAACACGUGGAUAACCUACCUAUAAGACUGGGAUAACUUCGGGAAGCCGGAGCUAAUACCGGAUAAUAUAUUGAACCGCAUGGUUCAAUAGUGAAAGACGGUUUUGCUGUCACUUAUAGAUGGAUCCGCGCCGCAUUAGCUAGUUGGUAAGGUAACGGCUUACCAAGGCAACGAUGCGUAGCCGACCUGGGAGGGUGAUCGGCCACACUGGAACUGAGACACGGUCCAGACUCCUACGGGAGGCAGCAGUAGGGAAUCUUCCGCAAUGGGCGAAAGCCUGACGGAGCAACGCCGCGUGAGUGAUGAAGGUCUUCGGAUCGUAAAACUCUGUUAUUAGGGAAGAACAAAUGUGUAAGUAACUAUGCACGUCUUGACGGUACCUAAUCAGAAAGCCACGGCUAACUACGUGCCAGCCGCCGCAGUAA